CAAUUAAACAAAUUGAUCGAGAGAGUGAGAAGGAGCAGAUGGACCGAAGAAGACGUGGGAGAAAUUAUCAGACCAAAAACGAAGAAUGGAAACCUAGACCAUGCGUAUACUGCGAGAGUGAUCAGCACAAAUCUGUCAACUGUGAUAAAGUAACCACCACAGCCGAGCGAAAGAAGCAGCUGAGUAUCAAACAACUGUGUUUCAAUUGCACUGGAGUAAAGCGCAGAGCAGCCGAUUGUCGUAGUAAAACUGUUUGCCAAUCUUGCAAGAAGAAACACCAUACCUCAAUCUGCGACAACACCCCCCUGGAAAUGCUUAGAACCGCAGCUGGAAAGGUAGUGUCAUCCACCCGGUUGUAAUAGUGAAUGCUGGUGGAAUCAAGUGUCGCGCCUUGCUGGACUCUGGAGCCGGCAGCUCGUAUGCCUCAGCAGCAUUACUUGACCGAUUGAAGAACCGACCGAUUCGCAAAGAACCAAGGAGAAUCGAGAUGAUGAUGCAUACUGUCAACAAGAUGACCGAAGUGCACAACCUUGAAAUUAGCAAUCUGAAGGGAGACUUUCACCUUAAGACCGAAGUUACCAAAGUCGACCGUGCAGUUUUGUUGAACUUGGAAAACCCUAAUUAUGACCAACUGUUGCAGCAGUACCCACACUUACAGCGGAUAACCAUGGAUGAAGUUGAAAAGAAACUGGAUCAACUCCCCGUUCAUUUGAUUCUUGGAACAAGCGAGUAUGCACAAAUCAAGAUGGAAGCGAAACCACGACUAGGACAUGCUGGGGAACCGGUUGCUGAAUUGACCAGUCUUGGCUGGACGAUAAUGUCUCCGGGAAAGGAAGCAGACUUAUCCAACAUGUUCAUGACCCAGACAUCGAGUUGCGACUACGAAAUGUUGUGCAGAAUGGACGUCCUAGGACUGGAAGAUCGUCCAACAGGAGAUCAACACAGUGUGUAUGAAGAUUUUAAAGAGCAAUUGGUGAGGAAUACGGAAGGCUGGUACGAAACGGGCUUCCCUUGGAGAGCAAAUCAUCCCCCGUUGCCAAACAAUGAGCGUGGCAGUGUUAGACGACUUGGAAAUCUAGUAAAGAGAUUAGAGAAGCAGCCCGAAUUGAUGACCAAGUACGAUGAAAUCAUUCGAGAUCAGAUCGACCAGGGGAUUGUGGAGAAAGUCACUCCAUCCAGUGUCCCAGCGAAUAACGAGUUUUACAUCCCACAUAAGCCGGUGGUGCGUGAGACAGCCGAGAGCUCGAAAGUUCGGGUCGUGUACGAUGCCUCGGCAAAGGCAUAUGAGAAGGCACCCUCCCUCAACGACUGUCUGGAGACAGGACCACCCCUACAGAAUCUUUUGUGGAGUGUCUUGACCCGAAAUCGGUUUUAUCCUAUUGCAGUCGCUGGUGAUCUGAAACAAGCGUUUCUUCAAGUGCGAGUGAAAGAAGAAGAUCGAAAUGCACUGAAGUUUCAUUGGUUGAAGGAUACGGACACGAAAGAAAUCGAAACUUUGAGAUUCACUAGAGUUCCAUUUGGCUUGACAUCAUCACCAUUCCUACUCGGUGGAGUAAUCGAACAGCAUCUCGAAAAUUGUAAAUCAGAGAAUCCAGAGAUCGUAGAAGAGAUCAAACGAAGUUUGUACGUGGAUGAUCUAAUUGGCGGUGGAGAAACGACGAGCAAAGCCCAAAACCUGAAAGAGUCAGCCAUAUCGAUCCUCGGCGAAGGUUGCUUUGAAUUGCACAAGUGGCAUUCUAAUGAACCAAUCUUGGAAACGAACAAUCAGCCGUCGAGUGAACCUGAACGAAGCUACGCGAAAGAACAACUGGGCGUUGAGAAAGGUGAGACAAAAUUGCUCGGACUAGCAUGGGACAAGCGUAAAGAUACAAUCGGAGUAACAUUUCCUGAUGUUCAACCUGCCGCACCAACGAAACGAAGCAUCCUAGGAGCGAUCGCAAAGAUCUAUGACCCACUCGGUCUUGUUUCGCCGGUGACUUUGGCUGGGAAAAUGUUGUACAGAGAAGCGUGUGACCUGAGUAUUGGUUGGGAUAAACCACUACCUGACAACCUGAAUGCUAAGUGGAGCUGUUGGGUGCAAAGCCUGCCUCGAAAGGUCCAAGUCCCGAGAAGUCUAACAGCCAACCGAGAAGAUAUCAAGGCGAUUGAUCUUCAUGCUUUUGGAGAUGCGAGCCAGAAAGGAGUUUCUACAGCUGUGUAUGCCGUGGUCUACCAAGAGUCGUGCGUCAACCAAGGACUGAUAACGUCGAAAUCACGCUUGGCAAAGAAAGAUUUAUCAAUACCCAGGCUAGAGUUGGUGUCAGGGCACAUGUCGGCAAACCUUUUACACAACAUCAAGGAAACAUUGCAACCUCUUCCAGUUCGAGACGUGUAUUGUUGGCUGGACAGCACGGUUGCACUGUAUUGGAUACAAGGCAACGGAGAUUAUAAACAGUUUGUCCAAAACAGGGUGAGAAAGAUCCAGGCGAAGCAGUACAUCCACUGGAGACAUGUUCCGACAACUGAUAACCCGGCAGAUAUCGGGAGUCGAGGUGGAUCAGCAGAUAAGUUAUCUGAGCUUUGGUGGAAAGGCCCGGAGUGGUUGCAGAACAAAGACGAGUGGCCGGAGAACAUUGUUACGACUCCUAGUCCAGAGUCAGAGUCCGAAGUCAAAACGGUGCGCGAAGUGUUAGCGGUGGCAGUCGAACCGAGAGAUGAACUUGAUCAAGUGAUGGAGAAGUACGAGCUCUGGAAAGCGGUACGAAUAACAACAUGGGUUGUGAGAUUUAUCAACAACUGCCGAGCGAAGCGUCUAGCGAGGAAGAAAGGACCAAUAUCAACAGAGGAAACCGAAGAGCAAGUUAAUUUCUGGAUCAGGAGAACGCAGGCGAGAUAUGAAGGAACCGUCGAAUUCCAAGAAGAACAGUUGAGACUCAAUCUUCAGAAGAACGGACGAGGUGUGUACGAGUGUCGUGGACGUAUUCAGGGACAUUACCCAACAUUCCUGCCUGACAAGUCCACGCUAGCCGAAAAGAUUGUGAUGAAUGCCCACGCACAGACUCUCCAUGGGGGAGUUGGACUCACAAUGACAUCGGUGAGAGAAAAUUAUUGGAUUCCACGGCUGCGAAGUUUGACAAAACGAGUGAUCAAAAGAUGUUACGGCUGUAAACGACAUCAAGUAACAGCGUUUGCUCAACCACCCCCUGGGAAUCUUCCUCGAGACAGAACAGAAGGUUCGUGGCCGUUUCAAGUCGUUGGUAUCGAUUAUGCCGGCCCGAUAUUGUAUCGCACAACGAAAAACAACGAGAAGAAAUCCUAUAUCCUGCUGUGUGCAUGCAGUUUAACAAGAAGUAUCUACUUGGAGUUGGUACCAAACUUGACCACAGAAGAAUGCAUCCGAAGCCUCAAACGGUUAAUUGCGAGACGCGGUCGUCCGGAUAAAAUCUAUUCCGACAAUGGGAAGACGUUCGUCGCCGCAGCGAAAUGGUUGAGGAAGGCUAUGAAGGACGAACAGCUUCAUGAUUGGCUUGGAAAAAUGAAGAUCGUCUGGCAGUUCAACCUCAGUCGCGCCCCAUGGUGGGGCGGUCAAUUUGAACGGAUGGUCGGUUUAGUGAAGCAGGCGUUGUACAAAACGACGGGGAAGUCCAAAUUGACCUGGAACGAAUUGGAAGAAGUGCUGCUGGAUAUCGAGAUUACACUAAAUAACCGACCGCUGAGUUAUGUUGAGGAUGACAUACAAUUACCAAUCUUAACGCCCCAGACCAUGACGAUUGGACGACCCAACUUAAUUCCGGAGUCAGAAAGCCUAGACCUCACAGAAGACGAUGCUGACCUGAGACUAAGAAAGAGAGCAAAGUACAUCAAGAAGUGCAAAGAAGCUUGGUGGUCGCGAUGGUCGUCUGAUUAUCUCAAAGCCCUGAGAGAAAGGCAUAAUAUGAAGAAUGGAACGAAAGAGAUGCAACUUAAAAUCGGAGAUGUUGUGCUCAUCAAAGGAGACGAGCGGAAUAAAGGAAAAUGGAAAAUCGGGGUCAUCGAGAAAUUGAUCGAAGGUAGAGAUGGGAGCGUUCGAGCAGUCCGACUAAGAGCUGGUAAAUCGUACUUAGAGAGGACCAUCCAACACCUGUACCCUAUGGAGCUAUCUUGUGAUAGGAAGAAACCGGAGAAGAAUUUAGAUCCUACAGCUCGCGAGUUCAGACCAAGAAGACACGCAGCAGCCGUUGCUAAUGAAAACAUCAGGAUCAUUGCGGAAGAAGAAAGAGAGGAACAUUAGUAACAAUUUUGAACGUUUAUAGAUGGUUUGUUUAGAUCGAACCAGAUCGUACAGUGAACCUUUUAUGUAGUUUCAUAGUUAACAAUUUAUAUUUGACUUUAAUGAAAGUCCAAUAGGGGGAGAGUGUGGGAAAGUUUACAUUAUACUAUUAGGACGCGCGGAGACCGGAAGAGGUCUCGGACUGAGACAAUAAGGAGGGCCGUGAAUAAUAAUACGAGAGCUAGUAAAAACAUUCGGAGUGAAAAACAAACUGUUAUUUUGAGGACUUUCUGUAAGGGUUUUAGUAGAUAAAUAGAUUUAAAACAAAAAGAUUCUUCGAGUGUUAUUUGUUGGGGAUUCUUGAAGCCUUUCUCCGACACAUGGACUUGUAAAACAUGGACUUGUAAAACAUGGACUUGAUCUUCGAGCGAAUUUAUUAUCGAUGUUAUGUUUCUCUAUAUGUACACCUA